UUCUGCAUUGCCACUGGCUUGAUGUAUUAUAUAUCACACAUAACAUACUUUUUUCUCCAGGAGGAACCUGAGGAACUCUCCGAUAGUGACUUUGAAAGUCCUGUGGGCUGGAGAAGGAGAGUUCAUACAGUGUCACCUUCCACAAGUGAAAGUGAGCUCAUCAGUCAAGGGAGUGAAAAUGACAGACUGCAAGAAAGUCCAUCGCGUCAAAGAAGAAUGCGGAGUACAGUGCCUUCAUCACAGAGGGAAAGUGAGGCCAGAUGUCAGGAGACAGAGAGCAGCACUC